rnacentral:rRNA from 1 species
UACCUGCAGCUCGAGUGGUGGCCGCUAUUAUUGGGCCUAAAACGUCCGUAGCCGGUUUAAUAAAUGCCUGGGUAAAUCGUGUAGCUUAACUAUACGAAUUCCGGGUAGACUGUUAGACUUGAGACCGGGAGAAGCUAGAGGUACUCCUGGGGUAGAGGUGAAAUUCUGUAAUCCUAGGGGGACCACCAGUGGCGAAGGCGUCUAGCUAGAACGGGUCUGACGGUGAGGGACGAAGCCCUGGGGCGCAAACCGGAUUGGAUACCCGGGUAGUCCAGGGUGUAAACGCUGCUUGCUUGAUGUUAGUUGGGCUCUGAGCCCAAUUAGUGUCGGAGAGAAGUUGUUAAGCAAGCUGCCUGGGAAGUACGGUCGCAAGGCUGAAACUUAAAGGAAUUGGCGGGGGAGCACCACAAGGGGUGAAGCUUGCGGUUU